CCUACGGGAGGCAGCAGUGGGGAAUAUUGCGCAAUGGGGGAAACCCUGACGCAGCAACGCCGCGUGAGUGAAGACGUAUCUCGGUAUGUAAAGCUCUAUCAGCGGGGAAGAAGGAAGACGGUACCCGACUAAGAAGCGCCGGCUAACUACGUGCCAGCAGCCGCGGUAAUACGUAGGGGUCGAGCGUUAUCCGGAUUUACUGGGUGUAAAGGGAGCGUAGACGGGGACGCAAGGCUGAAGUGAAAGCCAGUGGCUCAACCGCGGAACCGCUUUGGAAACUGCGAGGCUGGAGUGCUGGAGAGGUAAGCGGAAUUCCUGGUGUAGCGGUGAAAUGCGUAGAUAUCAGGAGGAACACCAGUGGCGAAGGCGGCUUACUGGACAGCGACUGACGUUGAGGCUCGAAAGCGUGGGGAGCGAACAGGAUUAGAUACCCGGGUAGUC
rnacentral:rRNA from 1 species